rnacentral:rRNA from 1 species
CCUACGGGAGGCAGCAGUAAGGAAUCUUGCGCAAUGGGCGAAAGCCUGACGCAGCGACGCCGCGUGGGCGAUGAAGGCCUUCGGGUUGUAAAGCCCUUUUCUGGGGGACGAGGAAGGACGGUACCCCAGGAAUAAGUCACGGCUAACUACGUGCCAGCAGCCGCGGUAAUACGUAGGGGGCAAGCGUUACUCGGAAUUACUGGGCGUAAAGGGUGUGUAGGCGGCCGAGCAAGUCGAAGAUGAAAUCCCAGGGCUCAACGCUGGAAUUGUCUUCGAUACUGCUGGGCUUGAGGGUAGUGGAGGAGAGCGAAAUUCCCGGUGGAGCGGUGAAAUGCGUAGAUAUCGGGAGGAACACCAGAGGCGAAGGCGGCUCUCUAUGCUACUCCUGACGCUGAGGCACGAAAGCUAGGGGAGCAAACGGGAUUAGAUACCCCUGUAGU